UGGGGAAUUUUGGACAAUGGGCGAAAGCCUGAUCCAGCAAUGCCGCGUGUGUGAAGAAGGCCUUCGGGUUGUAAAGCACUUUUGUCCGGAAAGAAAUCCUUGGCUCUAAUACAGUCGGGGGAUGACGGUACCGGAAGAAUAAGCACCGGCUAACUACGUGCCAGCAGCCGCGGUAAUACGUAGGGUGCAAGCGUUAAUCGGAAUUACUGGGCGUAAAGCGUGCGCAGGCGGUUUGCUAAGACCGAUGUGAAAUCCCCGGGCUCAACCUGGGAACUGCAUUGGUGACUGGCAGGCUAGAGUAUGGCAGAGGGGGGUAGAAUUCCACGUGUAGCAGUGAAAUGCGUAGAGAUGUGGAGGAAUACCGAUGGCGAAGGCAGCCCCCUGGGCCAAUACUGGCAGCUCAUGCACGAAAAGCGUGGGGGAGCAAAACAGGAUUAGAUACCCUGGUAGUCCACGCCCUAAACGAUGUCAACUAGUUGUUGGGGAUUCAUUUCCUUAGUAACGUAGCUAACGCGUGAAGUUGACCGCCUGGGGAGUACGGUCGCAAGAUUAAAACUCAAAUGAAUUGACGGGGUCAUAGC
rnacentral:rRNA from 1 species